UAGAAGGCUACAAGAAUAUCCACUCUCCUGUAUUGUCUGUGGGGGAACAAUCGUCUUUGAAGGAAGCAGCUGUAGGAAUCAUAGUGGUUGUUCUGAUUCUCAUCCUCUGUCUCUCUGGCUUCAUGUGGUUCAGGAAGAAGGCCUCCAAAUCCACGUUUGACACACAAGACAGGAGAGACACAGUAGAGAAUGGACAGAGAGACUCUAAUCCAGUGUAUGACAACAUCUCAGGCAUGGCCAUGGCCCCUACUGCAGCACAGAGACCGAUCACAGACGAGCAGGAUGACGUUACCUACGCCAGCAUCCAACACAGAAACCAGGAAGUGCCUCUGUACUCCA